rnacentral:rRNA from 1 species
CCUACGGGUGGCAGCAGUGAGGAAUAUUGGUCAAUGGGCGAGAGCCUGAACCAGCCAAGUCGCGUGAGGGAAGACGGUCCUAUGGAUUGUAAACCUCUUUUGUCGGGGAGCAAAAAGGCCUCGUGAGGCAACAAGUGAGAGUACCCGAAGAAAAAGCAUCGUCUAACUCCGUGCCAGCAGCCGCGGUAAUACGGAGGAUGCGAGCGGUAUCCGUAUUUAUUGGGUUGAAAGGGUGCGUAGGAGGACUGGAAAGUCAGCGGUAAAAGCGAGAGGCUCAAACUCUUUCCGCCGUUGAAACUGUCGGUCUUGAGUGGGCGAGAAGUAUGCGGAAUGCGUGGUGUAGCGGUGAAAUGCAUAGAUAUCACGCAGAACUCCGAUUGCGAAGGCAGCAUACCGGCGCCCGACUGACGCUGAGGCACGAAAGCGUGGGUAUCGAACAGGAUUAGAUACCCGGGUAGUC